rnacentral:rRNA from 1 species
GAGUAAUGUCUGGGAAACUGCCUGAUGGAGGGGGAUAACUACUGGAAACGGUAGCUAAUACCGCAUAACGUCGCAAGACCAAAGAGGGGGACCUUCGGGCCUCUUGCCAUCGGAUGUGCCCAGAUGGGAUUAGCUAGUAGGUGGGGUAACGGCUCACCUAGGCGACGAUCCCUAGCUGGUCUGAGAGGAUGACCAGCCACACUGGAACUGAGACACGGUCCAGACUCCUACGGGAGGCAGCAGUGGGGAAUAUUGCACAAUGGGCGCAAGCCUGAUGCAGCCAUGCCGCGUGUAUGAAGAAGGCCUUCGGGUUGUAAAGUACUUUCAGCGGGGAGGAAGGGAGUAAAGUUAAUACCUUUGCUCAUUGACGUUACCCGCAGAAGAAGCACCGGCUAACUCCGUGCCAGCAGCCGCGGUAAUACGGAGGGUGCAAGCGUUAAUCGGAAUUACUGGGCGUAAAGCGCACGCAGGCGGUUUGUUAAGUCAGAUGUGAAAUC